rnacentral:rRNA from 1 species
CCUACGGGUGGCAGCAGUGGGGAAUAUUGCACAAUGGGGGAAACCCUGAUGCAGCGACGCCGCGUGAGUGAAGAAGUAAUUCGUUAUGUAAAGCUCUUUCAGCAGGGAAGAAAAUGACGGUACCUGAGUAAGUAGCCCCGGCUAACUACGUGCCAGCAGCCGCGGCAAUACGUAGGGGGCAAGCGUUAUCCGGAUUUACUGGGCGUAAAGGGGGCGUAGACGGCAGUGCAAGUCUGGAGUGAAAGGCGGGGGCUCAACCCCCGGACUGCUCUGGAAACUGUACGGCUGGAGUGCAGGAGAGGUAAGUGGAAUGCCUGGUGUAGCGGUGAAAUGCGUAGAUAUUAGGAAGAACACCAGUGGCGAAGGCGGCUUACUGGACUGUAACUGACGUUGAGGCACGAAAGCGUGGGGAGCAAACAGGAUUAGAUACCCUUGUAGUC